AUAAGGGUAGGAUGUGGACGCAGUGAACUCACCCCGCACUCACCGUGAACACGGAUUUAACGUUAACGGACUACCUGAGAAUCAAUUUUUCAUCGUAGAGUCACUUUGGACGGAUUUAACAGAGAUUUAUUCGGUUUAUUUGACAGAUUUCCAACACUGGACCACCGCCUUCCCAGAGGCUCGUGACCAAAGCUCAGUGGAUCAGCAGUGUGAGCUAACGUGUCGGCCAGUCGGCUAUUGUUUUUACGUUCGUCAUUCGGAGCGAGUGAGAGACCGAAACCCGUGUGUUGAUAACACCCCCAAUGAUAUGUGCGUGGGAGGCCGAUGCCUGCUUCCUCUCAGAGUGAGGGGUGUGAUGGCAUGCUUGGCUCGGGUGUGGUGUGUGAUUGGUGCAGCAUUUGUGUGUGUGGGAGGCUGAUGCCUGGGUCAAAGGUCAGCGACAGGGCAGCCGACUCUCCAGCCAAUCGCGUCCCGGACCAACGUUGAGGAAUUCAUCUCUGCACUUGGGCUCAUCCCCUCUCCAAUGGCCCACUGAUGGAGCAUCUGAUUCUCACGCUGCUGACCUGAGUGGAGUCCAAGCCCUGACAGCAUGAAGCAUGCAGAAUGGCUCUACACAGUUUGCCGUGCAUUCCGGGACUUAUCUUUGACCCUGAGGCUCCUCGAAUCCAAGCUUUGUGUGAUAGAUCUGUGAAAAUACAGUUAAUGUAGCAGCUUGAAUAUUUGCUUCUAAAUAUCCAUGUGUGAAGGUGUGUGUGUGUGUGUGUGUGUGUGUGUGUG
ensembl:lncRNA